UCUGUUUGUAGUUAAAAAAGUCUAGCCUGCCCACUGAUUGGAAGUGUUAAAUGGCCGCAGUAUUAUGACUGUGCAAAGGUAGCAUAAUCAUUAGGUUUUUAAAUGAGAUCUUGUAUGAAUGGUUGAACAAAGGGGAAACUGUCUUUAUUUUAAAUUUUGAAUUUUACUUUUAAGUGAAAAGGCUUAAAUAUUCUAAAGGGACGAUAAGACCCUAUAAAGCUUUAUAUUAUGAUUAUAUUUAAUUGAAUUUAUUAUGAUAAAAAUUUGGUGUAAUUAUUUASUAUGUUGGGGCGACAGAGAUAUAAGUGAGUUAUUAACUGUUAUUUUAUAUACACAUUUAUUUAUGUUAUGGUAAAUAAUAGAUCCUAGUUAUAGAUUUAAAGUUUAAGUUACUUUAGGGAUAACAGUAUAAUUUUUUUUAAGAGUUCAUAUUGAAAAAAAAGUUUGUAACCUCGAUGUUGAAUUAAAAUAUCUUUAUAAUGAAGCUGUUAUAAGAGAGAGUCUGNUCGCCUGUUUAU
rnacentral:rRNA from 1 species